CCGUGGCUCUCAACUGUGGGGCUUUGAGCAGAAUGAUGGCGGGUCAAAGGUGCAGAAUGACUGAACAGCACAGAACGGUGUGAGGGGUGGGCUCUGAAGUCCACCUGUGUUUGAGCCCUGCGUUACCAUCUAUAUGGCUUUGAGUCAGAAGGAUAAACUCUCUACGCUUCAGGCUCCUUUCUCUUCUAUAACUCUGCCCUUCUUACCUGGAAAGCGGAGCUCCGAAUAACACCCUGAUCAGAUGGCGUGUGACCUGUGGUUAUCACAGAUCCAGCAUCAUGAAUGAGCUUCAAAAGGGGUCGUCGGAGAGAUCGGCAGCAGGCUGGGGAGGGGAGACCAAGCUAGGAACAAGCGUGUUCUUAGGCUGAGACCAAAGCCUAGUGCAGAGACUGGAGCUGGGGUCAGGGUCCUGCUGAACUGAGAUUCUGAACCAGCAGCAGAAAAGAUACCAAGCUGAAGAAGCCAAGAGAGGAAAGAGAAGUCAGAAAGCAAAUCACCAGGUCAUCAGCCCU